UACGGAGGGUGCAAGCGUUAAUCGGAAUUACUGGGCGUAAAGCGUGCGCAGGCGGUUUGUUAAGUCCGUUGUGAAAGCCCCGAGCUCAACUUGGGAAUUGCAGUGGAUACUGGCAGGCUGGAGUACGGUAGAGGAAGGUGGAAUUCCCGGUGUAGCAGUGAAAUGCGUAGAUAUCGGGAGGAACACCGGUGGCGAAGGCGGUUCUCUGGGCCUGUACUGACGCUGAGGAGCGAAAGCGUGGGGAGCAAACAGG
rnacentral:rRNA from 1 species